UUUUAGAAAAUUCUGCUUCUGACUGUCAGCAACGCAGCAAUUCUGCUCUAGUGAUUAAUCGUCUAAUUGCAUUAUUCAAACUAAAUUUGAGUACCAACUACAGCGUUAUUGGACUCCGUGGUGGCUUCCUCAGUGACCUGAUGGAUGGAAAACAUCACAGCAAACUGUGGCUUCUUAUGGUUGAGCUGCCUCUUCUGAAACCUGGGCUCAUUGACAGAAAGGACAUGCUGAAACAAAGGUUGCAUUUAGUGGACUCAUGAUGUCUACAAAUUAUCUAGGUAUUUCACAAAACUUGCAUACUUUCAUUAAAAAAAGAAGUGGUAGGAUAUAUACUACAUGGAAUACUAGUCUGUAAUGAAAAAAGAUGAAAUGGUGCCCUUUGAGACAAAUGGAUGAGUCUGGAGGUGAUUAUGCUUAGUGAAGUUCCUAUUUAUUAAACAUGUUGUUGUGUUCACUGACUUUUAGCUGCAGAUCCUGACCUCCCAGGGAAAAUGACCUCACCAGUGUGUCCUGGAACUUCACUUCUCCAGAGCUCUACUCCACUAGGGCAAGAUAGAAAUAGCCUGCGGUCAUAAUCCCAGAGGAAUAAAGAACUGAAAACAGCCAAGACUUUUGCUUCUGUGUAGCCUAUAUUCUAGUGGGAAUGCUGCGGUCUGGGACUAAGGUGGGUGUUUAUAAAGACAGAAGCUGCAAAGUAUUGUGGAUCUUUAAAGAAAUGUUGGGGAAAAUAUGGGAAGAGUAAUCCAUGGUAUACUUCUUGAAGGAUGGUAAGACCAUGUUGGUAUGCUUCUAAUUCUGCUUCUAAAAACCCCUUCUGUUUCAUUUGGUUUAAUCCCCCCCUGCUUAACACUGCAUUCUAUUUACAUAACCACUGCAUGGCAUUGGUUCAAUCCCCACUGGUCCAUGAUGUGGUUUUGCUCCUCCCCAUCUCCUUGUCACACCCUGAUUUUCACCAGUCAGUUUUCUCUCCACCUUCUCUACAUCACAUCCUGUUCACACCCUACUUGGAAAGUAUAUAAGGACAGCAUUGUUUGUUUUAGUUUUAGUUUUAGUCUAGCCCAGCAUAGAUUGUGCUGCAUCCUGCAUGAAUAAAGAGAUAUUGCCUACAGCUCAACCAUGAGUCCCGGGUCGUCUGUCUCCCGUCAGUGAAGCUCAGCCCGACAAGACCAGGAUGACUAAAAAUCCCUAUUCUGAUAUUCUUGGUGCAGGGGCCACCCUGGUUCUUAUGAAAACUACAAGUAGGAAGCUUCCUGCUACUGUCAAAACAUGAGGACACACAGAAGAGAAUGAAAUUAAUUUGUCCACUAGGAAAGAGCCUCAGAUUUUUUUUUUCACCAGAAUUAUCACUAUAGGUCAGUAGCAUUUCCUUUUUGUUUUUUUUUUA